UAAAAAUUUAGCUCAGACUUAGAAUAAGGAUUGUAACAUUUUUGAACGCAGCCUCCUGCCCAAUACGUCACGCCUCUGUGAACGUACACAGGUUAGAAUCUUGGUUGUCAAUUCAUUGUCAGGUGUCAAACCGAGUAAAUUUCAGCAGCGCAAGGGCACAUGCGCCGUAUAAAUUUUAACUUUUAAUUGAUUUGCAAUGUAAAGAACUUAGUAAAGUGCAUCCAUAAAUAACCGAAACUAUAUUAUAUAAGAAGGAAAAUGUAUACCGAGUACACAAUAAGUUGUACAUACCCUAUAAUGUAAAAAUUCUACCGUUGAGGGGGGAGAAUGUAACGAAGUCGUUACAACAACGGCCACACACCUACCCACAUCUCCGAGCCAACAACAAGAACGCCGCGGGGUGGGGCACCGCACAGACCACUCCGGGUGACCAGAGGGGAAGCGGGACGGCACGGCCGCCGCACCUAUAAAGCACCGCAAGACCGCCGCUCCGGCACCAUUCGUCAACUCCAGCUCCGGCGUCUGAUCAGCUCCUAUCCCGUGCUUCCUUCCCACUCACCCUUAUUGUAUUUAUGUAUCUAUAGCCUGCGUCGCGACGAUCUAGUCUCGAUAGGCGCAGCUUGGUUACCCCCUCGUUGUGACUGAGGCUUCGAGCGCGGCGCGGCUGCAAUUAUUAGCCCAAGAUCCUGUACCCUUUAUCCUUUCCUACUAUUUGCUAUAAAUCCGCGUUUGCCCCUUCAGGGCCCUGUUUAAAUAGUUAGAUACUUAAUAGAUAUCCUUAUUUGUGCAUUUGUGUGGUGAAUACAUAGUUACAAGCUGUAAGUACUAGAUAUAUAAGUUAUUAUUGUAAAUAAAGCGGAGCCAGUCCCGCCUAAUUGUUGUAUAUUGUAA